GAUAAACGCUGGCGGCGUGCUUAACACAUGCAAGUCGAACGAUGACCCCGUGCUUGCACGGGUGAUUAGUGGCGAACGGGUGAGUAACACGUGAGUAACCUGCCCCCGACUUUGGGAUAAGCCCGGGAAACUGGGUCUAAUACCGGAUAUGACUUCUUACCGCAUGGUGGGUUGUUGAAAGAUUUAUCGGUGGGGGAUGGACUCGCGGCCUAUCAGCUUGUUGGUGAGGUAAUGGCUCACCAAGGCGACGACGGGUAGCCGGCCUGAGAGGGUGACCGGCCACACUGGGACUGAGACACGGCCCAGACUCCUACGGGAGGCAGCAGUGGGGAAUAUUGCACAAUGGGCGAAAGCCUGAUGCAGCGACGCCGCGGGAGGGAUGACGGCCUUCGGGUUGUAAACCUCUUUCAGUAGGGAAGAAGCGAAAGUGACGGUACCUGCAGAAGAAGCGCCGGCUAACUACGUG
rnacentral:rRNA from 1 species